GCUCUACCGUCCGGUGCGAGCCUGAUCCUCACCAUUUACUGCACGCCGGACCAGUGAUCUCCUGUGCCAGCUCCUACACCUCCUCUGGACUGUGUUUCAUGCCUAUGGCAUUCACCUGACUUGAGCCACCAGCUGUGCCUCUCCUACAACCUCAGUUGUAGCUCUAGCAGUCCAGUCAACCCAGCACUCCCCGCUGCCCUGAGAUCAGCUGAUGAGACCGGUUCUGACCACUCAUCAGUUCUGUAGUCAUUAAAAUACCUUUACCUGGUUAAACCUGA